rnacentral:rRNA from 1 species
CNUUCUGUGCCGGAGUUAACGCAAUAAGUACCCCGCCUGGGGAGUACGACCGCAAGGUUGAAACUCAAAGGAAUUGACGGGGGCCCGCACAAGCGGUGGAGUAUGUGGUUUAAUUCGACGCAACGCGAAGAACCUUACCAGGUCUUGACAUUGAUGGACAGAACCAGAGAUGGUCCCUCUUCUUCGGAAGCCAGAAAACAGGUGGUGCACGGUUGUCGUCAGCUCGUGUCGUGAGAUGUUGGGUUAAGUNNNNNNNCGAGCGCAACCCCUAUCUUAUGUUGCCAGCACUUUGGGUGGGGACUCAUGAGAGACUGCCGCAGACAAUGCGGAGGAAGGCGGGGAUGACAUCAAAUCAUCAUGCCCCUUAUGACCUGGGCUACACACGUACUACAAUGGGAGUUAAUAGACGGAAGCGAGAUCGCGAGAUGGAGCAAACCCGAGAAACACUCUCUCAGUUCGGAUCGUAGGCUGCAACUCGCCUACGUGAAGUCGGAAUCGCUAGUAAUCGCAGGUCAGCAUACUGCGGUGAAUACGUNCCCGGGCCU